rnacentral:rRNA from 1 species
UACGGAGGAUGCAAGCGUUAUCCGGAAUUAUUGGGCGUAAAGCGUCCGUAGGUGGCUAUUCAAGUCUGCUGUUAAAGCGCAGGGCUUAACUCUGUAAAGGCGGUGGAAACUGGAGAGCUAGAGUGUGGUAGGGGUAGAGGGAAUUCCCGGUGUAGCGGUGAAAUGCGUAGAGAUCGGGAAGAACACCAGUGGCGAAAGCGAUCGACUGGGCUGCAACUGACACUGAGGGACGAAAGCUAGGGGAGCGAAUGGG